GGUAGGCGAGGUCCUAGUAGUAACUACAGUCUCCGUGCUGGGCGCAGGGUCGGCAGCAAAGAAAGCAGAUCAUAGCUGUGCCCGCAUGGAGCUUACUUGAUAUUAUGAGCGAUAAACAGAUACAAGCGGGAUGUAAAGUCAGAAUAUGAGCGGUGUUUGAAGGUCAUAAAAGACCUUGCAGCAUCAGCCUUGCUGUUCCUUCUUGGGUUGCUUGCUCUGGGGGAAGCCAGCUGUCACAUCACAAGGAUAAGCAACUCUAUGAAGAAAUCCCCAUGGCAAAGAACUGAGGCCUCCUUCCAACAACCAGCACAAACUUGCCAGGCAUGCAGUGAGCCAUCUUAGAAGUGGAUCCUUCAGCCUGUCAAGCCUUUAGGUGACUUCAGAUGACCGGCCAACGUCUUGAGAUCUCAUGAGAGACCCCAAGCCAGAACUAUCUAUCCAAGCCAUUUGGAGAUUCUUGACCCACAGAAACCGUGUGACAUAACACAUGUUCCUGCUUAUUGUUUAGAGGAGCUAAAUUUUGGGUAAUUUCUUAUGUAGCAAUAGGCAAUUAAUACAUGAUCGUGGGCAAAAUCCUUUGGCUAUAGACUAGAUGUUUACAUCCCCCAAAAUUCAUAUGUUGAAACCUAAUCCCCUUCGAGAUGGCACUUGGAGGUGGGGCCUUUGGUAGGUGAUUAGGUCACGAGGGUGGAGCCCUCAUGGGUAGGAUUAGUGCCCUUAGGAAAGAGACCCCAGGGAGCAAAAAGAUGGUCAUCACCAGGAAACAGGCCCUCACCAGACACCAAAUUGGCUGCCACCUUGAUCUCAGACUUCCCAGCCUCCAGAACAAUGAGAAAUAAAUUUCUGUUAUUUAUAAG
rnacentral:lncRNA from 1 species